rnacentral:misc_RNA from 1 species
GAAAAUUCCAAGAUUCCAUAACUUUGAAAAUUAGUUUUGUUUCAUUCAAAUGAUGGAUAAGUGAAAGUGAAGGGGAAGAUUAUAGAAUUCUUCUGGCCAAACUUGAAAAUGACAUCUACUUUAGACUAUUGAAACACAAGACCAUAUAUAUGGAGAUUUUCAAUCCAGCAAGGCUCCUAGAUAUUUGCUUUUCACGAGCCAAUCAUCAUACAUUGCUAAAAUUUCCAUCUCUAUCCUUUUUUUUUAAAGAAAAAAAAGAAAAGCAAUUAUUAUUGGUGUUAAACAGCCAAAGAGAGUUUCCAUAAAAGCAUUAUUUCAAAGAAAGCAUAUGAGAUAAAGGAGUACUCACUUGUUACAGUGAGAUGAGUUAAAAGCAACCCCACUUUGGCAGAUUCCU